UACGAAGGGGGCUAGCGUUGUUCGGAUUUACUGGGCGUAAAGCGCACGUAGGCGGAUUGUUAAGUCAGGGGUGAAAUCCUGGAGCUCAACUCCAGAACUGCCUUUGAUACUGGCAAUCUAGAGUCCGGAAGAGGUGAGUGGAACUCCUAGUGUAGAGGUGGAAUUCGUAGAUAUUAGGAAGAACACCAGUGGCGAAGGCGGCUCACUGGUCCGGUACUGACGCUGAGGUGCGAAAGCGUGGGGAGCAAACAGG
rnacentral:rRNA from 3 species